rnacentral:rRNA from 1 species
UUCUGCCCAAUGAUUAUUUAAAUGGCUGCAGUAUUCUGACUGUGCAAAGGUAGCAUAAUAAUUAGUCUUUUAAUUGAAGGCUUGUAUGAAUGAGUAAAUGAGAAAUUUAUUUUAUUUUUUUUAUUAUUAUAAUUUAAUAUAUAAGUAAGAAAGCUUAUUUGUUUAUUUGGGACGAUAAGACCCUAUAGAACUUUAUUUUUAUUUUUAUAAAUUUUAUAUUUAGAUUCAUUUUAUUAUUUAAAAAUUAAAUUUUUUGUUGGGGUGAUAAAUAAAUUUUUACUUUAUUUUUUUAAAUCAUAUAUUAGUGUAUAUUUUGAUCCUUUAGUAAGAUUUUAAGAUUAAGUUACCUUAGGGAUAACAGCGUUAUUUUAAUGGGGAGUUCAUAUUUAUAUUAAAGUUUGCGACCUCGAUGUUGAAUUAAGAUAAAUUUGAGGGGUAG